CCUACGGGCGGCAGCAGUAGGGAAUAUUGCUCAAUGGGGGAAACCCUGAAGCAGCAACGCCGCGUGGAGGAUGAAGGUUUUCGGAUUGUAAACUCCUUUUGUUAGAGAAGAUAAUGACGGUAUCUAACGAAUAAGCACCGGCUAACUCCGUGCCAGCAGCCGCGGUAAUACGGAGGGUGCAAGCGUUACUCGGAAUCACUGGGCGUAAAGAGGGCGUAGGCGGGAUAGCAAGUCAGAUGUGAAAUCCUAUGGCUUAACCAUAGAACUGCAUUUGAAACUGUUAUUCUAGAGUAUGGGAGAGGUAGGUGGAAUUCUUGGUGUAGGGGUAAAAUCCGUAGAGAUCAAGAGGAAUACUCAUUGCGAAGGCGACCUGCUAGAACAUAACUGACGCUGAUGCGCGAAAGCGUGGGGAGCAAACAGGAUUAGAUACCCUUGUAGUC
rnacentral:rRNA from 1 species